CAUGGAGGUAAUUCUUACCUCCAUGGUAUAAACGCUGUAGCCAACAUGUGACGUCACUUACGUCAACAGCGUUGUUUACAGGUCUAGUCAGGAGGCAGCGCUGUCACGCUUUCAGCCUUUCUGAUGACAUCAUGAAGCGAUUCCUCGGGGCCCGCGAGACGCACGUGUUCUUCACAGGGCUGGAAAUGGUGUAGAGCGGCCUAUUAUGCUGCUGCGAAAUGCAAUAAAGGGAAAAAAAAACACAUAAGAAGCACAGACAUGUACUCUACACGCAAAAGGGAUUGAAGCCCCAUUUGUGGUUCUGUAGACUGCUGUGUUUCAGUCACUGUCGCCUGUUGCCACAAUUUCAGACACGGCAGACUGCACACUACUACUAAACACGGUACUGCAGCUCCUGGCGAACCAAGCCACCAAUGAAGCGCCACAAGCAUCAACUUUAGGUCCGAGUGUCAUACUGCCUUUUCGCCAGUUUAAUGAAGUAGAAGAGGAAUGGCCCGAGUGGUUGCAACAGUAUGAUGCCCACGUAAUUGCUGACAACGUGUCAGAUUCAUGGAUCCCGAGAACAGCGUGGCCACAACAGGUGUCUGAGGGUGUCAUGACGACAUCGCGGGACGACCCCAUGGAGACGGAGCCUUUGCCUCCUCCACGUCCUCUAGUCUUACCGAUGGAGCUAGAGCCGCCCACUCAGCAGCAGCUGACGCCUUCUACUUGUUGUUGUGGACCUCUGGAGGUGGACGCGUACCCUUCUGGGCGUUUUCCGGGGGUCGUUUCCACCAGAGUGAAGGCCGGACGACGGGGUACGACAGGGAGCGUGACGACCCCUGCAGCCACAGCUUCCGGUACCUCAGAGCAUCUACGCUCCUGUCUCCCCCGCUGUAGUCGUGCUCCCUAUACGACGACGG